rnacentral:snRNA from 1 species
AGGGGCUACCGUGAUCAUUAAGGCGGUUCCCCCGAGGCGAGGCUCUUCCAUUGCACUUAAUUAAUUGUUAUACUAGGAAAAAAUAAAAUUUCUAAAUCGA